rnacentral:SRP_RNA from 2 species
GGGAGGUCGGCGGUGGACGUCGCCACUCGUCGAUCUGGUCAGGUCCGGAAGGAAGCAGCCAAGGCGGGUCGGGCACGGGUCAUCGUCCGGCCUCCCACC